ACAAACGUUUGGAAGGUUGUUGGAAAAUCCCGAGCCAGAAGGAAGUUACUAGAAGAAAAGAAUACUGUCUCAAGCCCUGUUGCUACAACGUGAGGCAUUCAAUGAAAUAAAUGAUGUGUAUAUAAGAGGAUGUUCAAUUCUUAUGAAGGAAAUGGCGGUCCGCAGAGUUAAGCGACCAAUGGAAACAAUGGAUUUAUCACCUGAAGAAAUCUUUGCGUCUCCGCUAAUAAAGUGGAUUAGAAUUGAAGAUGCUACUUAUUACCUCGACCGUGAGAACCCUGCAACUCAUAUUAUUUGUUUCGGCUCAGCGUUUCAAAGUGGCCAUUUUAUGAUUGUGCUAGGCAGGAAUUGUAGUAUCAAUAUGGGAGCGAACGCUUCACAA